ACUGGGCUGGGAUAGAGAGGCAGAGGGGAGGUGAUGGUGCUCUGCAUGCCUUCAGCACGCAUCUGGCACUCCCUCCUGGGCAGGAAAACACCACCAAGACUGAAUGUUUAUGGGCUGAUCUCUGCAGGAACUGUUCACCUGAAAGUCCCUUUGCUGAGGUCAUGGCACUCCCCUUGAGGAACCGGCAACAGCUGAGGGUUGCUUCUCUUUGCUGGUGUGAUUUACAUCCAUAGGAGCUGCCCUUGGAAGGUUUUACAAUAUAAAACAGAGGAAGGACCAAGAACAGAUGGAGGUGAACCCAGGGGAUGUGAGGGAGCAGCUGAGGACAAUGAUGAGCACUGAUAAAGAUGGAGCAGGGAGGGCAGCUCUGGCACAGUGGGAGCAGCUGCUGGAGGCUGGCAGUGCCCCCUCCCUGAGACCUGCAGCAGCACAGUGCUGGAGUAGCUGUGGUGUCUGAGGGCUGCUUGGUCCAGGCUCACUCUGUAGGAGAGAGGGGGAGAAAUCAGUCACUCCUCGAGGAGAUCCGUCUCCAUCACUCAACCAGCUGCAUCCCUUCAUAAAUCUUCCCUAACUUGCUGAAAUGUCUUUCGAUGGAUGAAGCAACGGAGAGUAGAAGAACAGAGCCUGGCAGGCUGCUUGAUGGAAUCUGGAGAUAUGAAGAGGCAUUUCUGCUCCACUGGCCAUCUAUGAACAGGACGAUGGUGUUACAGCUGCCUGCACAUCUUCAACAUUCCUAGGGCUGCAGCUGAUGAUGUGGUGCGGGAACACAGUGGCCACACCUGGCCCUGUCACCUGAUGCUGGUCACUCUCCCCACGCCAACCCCAAAUCUCAGCCAGCUUUGGACAGCAUUCACUCUCCUUCACCCUGCGAUGCCCACAGUGAAAUCAGCCCUCAGCUGGGUUUGCUGGCACCUUUAUCACCUCAGUAUCAUCCAUCAGAUCAGCAGAUCCAACGUGUUUGGGACACAGGACAGCCUUGCUGGACAGCAUGCUUUUCCGUGGGAGUUUUCCAAGCUGAGCUACCAUGUGUUUGGAAUUAGCGCCGCGGUUGCAGGGGGAGAAGGCAGCUGGGUUUCUCCGGAGCAUUUCAGUGCUUAAUCUCUGAAGAAUGCAGAAUGUCUGUCUGGAUGCCCCGGCCAAGAUCAACUCCGCGGCACGGGGAGGCCAAUAUAAACGUUCAUGUUUUGUGUCACUGAGAUUUCAUUAGAUGUUUUUUAUGUAAUUGCAUAAGUCAAACUACUGUGAUGAAAAUGCCACAGUGAACAAACGGGAUGAAUUGUGAAACUUCUCCUUCGAGGAGAGGACUGCGGGGUCCAACUCCAACCUCUUCCAAGGCAAUGGGGUCCAGUUCCAGUCUUUUCCAAAUGCUGGUGACCUUUUUGGAGGCUCUUUGCUGUCCCAUUGCAUCGAUGUCAGGGUAGGAGAUGUCCCCACGGAUGGCUCCUUGAGUCCCAGGCUGUGGGAGGCAGAGGAGGUGGGAGGAAGUCCUCUCCCAUUCCUUGGCUGCCUGACACCCCAGCACCCCGCAGCAUCGGGAUGAGAUCACUGCACUCUUUAGUUCUCACUUUUAGAGGAGGGAAUAGUGAGCAGUAGAGCUCACUCUGGAGCUCACAGCAGUGCCAUGUCCAAUCCCCACUGCCAGCCCCAAUGGCUUUGUGCCCGUGUCCCGUAAAAAUCUGCUGUAACUCCUUGAUUCUACAGAUUAAUGCAAAUUUAAUGAAGCCUUAAUCAUCUGCUAAGGUCAAAUGCGUGCUCUCAAGGUGUCUCCAUAGGGUGCAGGCAUGGUGCUGUUAUUCCCUGGGCCCAGUAGCAUCCAUUGCCCUCCUGUCCCAUCCUAUCCACGGUUGUGUUGUGGCAGCGCACAGACCCCACUGAGACAUGAGGACAGGCAGAAGCUUCUGCGAGUGGGGCUGGAAAGGUCGCCCUCAGUGCAGACACAUCUGCUGGGCGGGAGGGCCUGGAAUUUGGGAUAUUGUUUUUCUGGCGGGGAGCAGUGGGUGCCAAAAGCCUGAUAAAUUAAUCACCUCGGACACGGGUCAGUCCAGCUCCUGGCGCAUGCAGCCUGGGCUGCCCGAGCCACUGAGUGGAGAUGGGGCCCACAUUCAGCAUGCAGUGAUGGGUGGGGGUUCGGGACAGCGGCUGGACGCAGAGCUGGGCUCCUGAAUGCUGUUCUGCAUCAGCUCCCCAUGGCCAGGCACCGUCACUCCCUGACCAACUGCUGCGUGCCCAAUGUCCGUGGGAGAUAAGGAUGUGUUUGGGGUUUGCACAGUUCAUGGUGCUGCAAAGUGCUGCCUUGGGGACUGCUGCAGUGCUUGGGAGCAUGCAGGUUGUGGAGAAGGCUGCAUGGAGUGCAGAU